CGCGGAGGGGGCGCCCGGGCUCGGGCCUGGCAACCCGCGGCGUCUCACCCCUGGGCGCCUUCGGACGGGAGGCGCGCGCGGGCAAGAGGGUCCCGGAGGACCAGCCCAGCCCCAGGGGAGCGUCCGAGGGCGCCGUCCAGAGCCCCAGGGUGGAGGGUGGGCCGAGGCGGCACCCAGAGGCAGCUACGGGGUUCCAGGUUCGCGUGCGGGGUGCCCCGCGCCGAAGCGAGAUCUGGCAGGGCAGGGCGGGAGGCGCACCCUCUGGACCAGGGGCUGCGGCUCCCCAUCUUGGCCCCGCGCGGCCGAGGGUAAGCUGGGUGCUGCCCCCUACCGGCCAGGUCGGGAUGCGGCGCCGUGCGGGGCCGCCCCUUUGAGGAGGGGAGUUGAAGGAGCGUCCAGUGUCGGACCUCGGAGCUUCCAGAUCCGAAGCUCUGCGCGCCCUGACUGUCUGUGACCUUGGGCAGGUCACUGCAUCUCUUCGAGCAUAAGUUUGUACAUCUGUCAAAUGGAGGAGAUGCUUCUCUCACCCCGCGGGAUCCAUGGGAAUAAAUGAGAUGCCGAAUGGAUGUCUUUUUAUAAACUGUAAAGUUCUGUACAAAUCCUAGCUAAUCACGUAAUGUCAGAAUUGGAAGGGCACUAAGGAAUCUGCUUUAUUGGGAGAGCGGUAAUAAAUUUUGCCCAAGGUCACACUGCUUGUAAGAGAAUAUAAGACUAAAGUCCCUUGCCUCACCAGCUCUGGGGAAGUUCAAGGAUUAAGAUCUGGGGCUCUCAGUCAGACUGACUGGCUACAUUAGCAAACCCGGCUUGGCUACUUCCUAGCUGUGUGACCUUGGGAAAACCCUUAACCUCUCUGAGCCUUGGUUUCCCUCCUCACAGGCUUUGCUGUGCAAAUCAAAUGAGGUCAUUGUUCAGGACAGCCCCUGGCCUCUAACAGCAGCCCGGUCAUUAGUGACCAUCAUCCUUCUGAUUAGGAGCAGCAACCGCUCAGUCUCUUCCUUGGACUCGGACUCUGGUGUUUUCUAAUUCAGUGCACGUUGUGGGGCUGUGCUCUCCCCUGGGCUGCACAGACACUGGCCAGGGUCUCAGCCUUCCUCCCAAGGACAUCAGGAGACCCUUUACUGACAGCAGCAAGCAAGACUUCCGGGGCGGCUGGGCAUUCUCCAGCCUUUGGCCCUGUCCAGCUGGUGGGAUGAAAUGGGUGGUCUUUGUCAUGGAGGACCUAGAGGGUGGUAUAGGAGGGAGGGGGCUGGCCAGCUGGGCAUGACUGGUAGAGCCUAGAGUCCCCUCUCCUCCUCCCCCUGGUGCCUAGCACAGGGCUGGAAACAGAGAGGUGAUUUCUCAGAGUUUGUCAGUUACCUGGUGGAUAAAUAAGGUGGAUACGCUGGUUCAUCCCUUUUCUCCUAGGCCGCAGAUGGAUGACUGUUCUUUUUGGCGACAGUGAUGCGAAUGUGUGCAGAAAUACAGAUUCUCAGAGCUGAGUUCCCAGAACCUCAUUGCAGAGAUGGAUCCCAGAGAGUCAGGGAUCUGCCCAGGUCACCAGUGUCCUCCAGGAAGCUGAAUUCAGUAGACACUGUUUACUCUUUAACUUUCUCAGCAGCAGCUGACACUGCUGAACUCUCUUUUCCUCUGCAAACACUCUCUUGUGGCUCCUGCAACUUAACAUUGCCCUAUUUUGCCUCCUGCAUCUCUGUUGUUUUUGCAGGUUCAUCCUCCUUUCUACAAUCGUUAGUUCCUCUGCUCUCCCACACCCUCCUCUCUUCUCCUAGUAGACACUCUUCCUGGGUGGUCUCGUCCACCCAUUAGCUUGAGUUACUGCCUCUAUGCACUUGACCUCAUAUACGUAUGUAUCUAGCUCAGAACUCUCUUCAGGCUGUGGACCCACCUAUUUAUUGUCAGCCAGGUAUUGUUCUAGGCCACAGGGAUAUAGUGAUGAGCUGGACAGAAAGUGAUUGUUGGAGGUAUGGGGAGAUAAACAAUAAAUGAAUAAGCAGAAAAUAUUUUUUAAAAAAGGAUAAAGUGCUAAAAUGGGCAUAAAGCAGGCUGAUAUGAUCGAUGAUGAGAGCUAGUUUAUGUGGACUGGUCAAAGAUCUGCCUUAAGGGGUGAUAUUGAAGGGGGGCAGCUGGUAAGAGAUGAGGUCAGAAAGGUGGCUGGUUGGGGAUAGGAGCAGCUAAUGUAGGCCAUGGUGAGAUUUUAGAUUUUAUUCGGAUAUGGGAGCUUUUGUAGAGUUUCAGACAAGAGAGAGGGAAUACGGUUAUUUCUCCAGGGUUCAUCUGAGCCCUAGAAGAGGAGUUAGUCUAUAGUGAUUGCAGCCUACUGUGCUCUGGGCGCUAGGGUGGGGAGCAUAGCUCCUCAAGGAGCUUCCAGCCACAGGCUGUAAGAGGCACAAACAAACCUGGAGUCAGGAGAGGGUUUAAAGGAGGGAGAUUUUGCAGGGAAGGCUUCCUGGAGGAAGUGGCUUUUGAGGAGGGCCUCAGAGAACAGAGAGCAGAGUACAAUAGGUAUGUAUGAAGGGAAAUGGGGAAGAUUGCUCUUCCAGGCAGAGGGCAGUCUGUCAGCCUGAACCAAGACGCACGCGCCCCAAAUGUGUGUACAGAAGACGGGGAAAAGAAGAUAGAACCUGUAGGGCAGUGAGAAGCCAGGCUGAUGAAGAAAUCUGGGCUGUUCAGAGCAAAGCUCCAAACUUGGCCACUUACUUGCUAUGUGACCUUGAGCCAAUUGCAUUACCCUUCUCAACCUCAGCUUCCUUAUUCAUCAAAGGGCAGUAACUGGUUAAAUGCUGAGUAAGAGAAGGAGAGAGAGAGAGGAUUCAAGUGUUGGGGAUGGGUGAGUAAGAACAGGAUAAUGCCUCCCAAGGAGGAAACAGGAAGGACUGGAGUGGAUGAGGGAAAUGGCGACUCGACUGAGGUCGAUGUCCCUGUGGGACAUCCAGGAGGGAUGAGCAAAGGACAUUUGGGGCCAGAGGUGUCAGAGAUAAAACUGUCAGCGUUCUUCUUUCAUUCAUUCUUUGAGUAAAUCGUUACCAAACCACUGUAAGUAUUAAGCCCAAACAUACAUCCGUGAACAAAACCAGCUCUCUGCUCCAGGUAUAUACCAUUUUGUGGGGACAGAGCCCCUCAGCAUUAGACUGCAGGAUGAUGAGAGACACGCAUGUAAAUUACAAACAUGAGCCACAAGUUAGAGGAGGGAGGCUGAUUCCACUUGGACGGAAGGAAUAGACACAUUUCAGCUAAGGGGAGGCAGUUGAAUUUGAUCCUGAGGGUAAAAGUGAGGUUGAAGGGGUGGGUGAAGGGGGAGGAUACCCUACACAGAGGGCACUGGGCUUCAUGACACAUGACAUACGUGUCCCCUGUCCCUUCCAGAACUCCAGUCCUACAGAAAGGCAGUCAGCAAGUGAGCCCAGUUGAAGGGAGUCCAGGGUCAUAUGUGAUAAGGAGACCAGUGGGGUGGGGAGGAAGGAGGGAUCACUACCAUUCCUAAAGUCCAGAAGAACCUUGAGAAGGUUGAAGGGGACAAGAGGAAGGGCAUUCCGGGUAGAGGGAACAGCCUGUGCAAAGGCUCAGAGGAGUGAGAGAACCACAGUGUUUUUGCAGGAGUGGGUCUGAGCCAAGCUGGAGGUAGCCUGUUUUGCUGAAUGCAGGUGAGCAGGAGGAUGAGAAGAAAGAGCUGAACUGUGCAGUCUCUGAAUAGGGUCCCUAGGUAAUGCUUGUGCCCAUCAAGUGUGAGAAGCACUGCAGUGAUCACAUUCCCGCCUUCUCUUCGGGUUGUGCUGAGUGCUGAAUGAAGAUGUCUGUGCACCCUCCCAUCGGCAGAGAGAGGCCCUUUCAGAUGCAAGUGAUGGAGCUUGGCACACAACGGGCACCCAGCGAAGAUGUUUUGAAUGUGUGCAGGCAUACGUGAGGUGGUAGGCCAGAUUUUGCAGAAGAGAAAAUGGAGGCUGUGGGAGGUCCCAUGCGGCGGCGAGAAAGACGCAGUCACAGCUAUAGAUGUGCUUUGUACAAUAGAAAGCGCUCUUCAGAUUUGUGGAGAAUCAUUUUCCCUUCCAGGGCUCACUCAGCCAUACCACACAGCUUCCGGAGAAAGAACAGACAGACACGAAUUCCUCCAUGGGGAUUAUUCUACUGCGACACAUCUUUAUCACAGAACCUUGGUUUUUUUCUUCCAAAAGGAUGAAGCCGGCUCCUGAGCAUCCAUGAAAACCAUACAUCCUCAAAGUUUUAUGACUCACUUAGUUAAAAUCAAGAGCAUUCAGAACAGGGAGGUGACUGAUCUCCCCGGGUAGGAAGUCUUAGUUAAGAGUGAUAAAAAAAAAAAAAAAACACCUGCCAUGUGGCAGCCGCUGUGCCGGCAUGUUUUCCCUCCUUCGCUGAAUCGACAUAGCGAUUCUGAGAGAAAGAUGCUCUUACCCCAGUUUACAGAUGAGAAAGAAAAGCCCCAGAGGUGAAAUGACUUGCCUCGAUCCACAGUAGGGACUGCUCGGGGGAAGGGAACCGAGAAACCUCUGUCUUAUGACUGUUUCUCAGGGCCUGUUGUGUCCAUUUGAACUGGGUCAAUUGAGAAAAGUCCGAGUUGGUACAAAUGUGGUUUCCUGGGUCCAGAUGUCACUUGUGGACAUCCAAGGAUAGGAAGGAGUGUCACUGGGCCUGGCAGGCUCCAUCUCCCUCCUCUCCUAGGGCAGGUGUUUCCCCCUCCCCCGCCUCUUCUUUUCUCUGUCUUUUCCGUUCUCCUGCCUCUUUCUGCCGAUCUAUUUUCCUUGUUUAUUUAUGGCCUUCCUGCCCUGGUUUUGGUUAUGGCUGUGGCCCAACAUCAGCCUCAGGAUUCUUAGCUUUCAGGUUGCUCUCCUUCCGUCACCUAUCUACCCAGCAGCUCCCAAUCUCCAUUCUAAAUUCCUAAGAGAGAAUCUGCCUGACUCAUUUUGGGUCACGUGUCCACCCUGGUCUGAUCAGCUGUGCUCAGAGGUGGUCUGUGGAACAAGCUGAGAUUCGGACCCAGUCAGUGCUGCCGUGACCAUUCUUGCUGCUGUCUGCUGGGGAACACAUCCAAGAAUGUCUCUGUGAUGCAUACCUGAGAGUGAAAUGACUGGAUAUGAGUGCGAUGAGGGGAAAAGGAGUUGAUUAUAGAGCUACACAGUCUGUACCUCCGAAGGUAGUUGGAUUCUGGGAAGUCCCCCAGCUUCGUUCAGGAUGGGGAAGGACAGCAGGCAGGAGAGAAGGGAGGUGGCCUCAGCGUCAUAUAGCUUCCUGCAGAGCUAGAGCCCAGUAUUCCCGACAGAGGCAAUCCAUCCAUCCAUCCAUCCCGUCCUUCUUCCCAAGAUGUCACCCACCAACCUCUCAGGCCUUUCUGAGCCCACGCCUUUCACUGGAAUGAGGUCACUGGAAUGCCUGGAACCCAAGGAGCGACCGCAUGAGUUUGUGGGGCAAGCACACCAGCCUCCUGUGAGAAAUGAGGCGCCUCACUCACCCAGACUGUCUGGAAGGAAGAAAAUUCCAAACGGUCCGACCCAACUUCACAUUUUUCAUGUGAACCAAAACGGGAGGAGUCUUUGGCCAGGGGCUUUUGGGGUGGAGCAGCAGGGCUCAGAUUUUCACUUAUCGCCAUGAGAUCCGAAACCGGCUUCACUCCUGAAAGCACAUGUGCCCUAAGGCUUUUCUUCCUGAACUGAAGCAGUGUGGAGAAGAAUGGGAAUUUGGAGAGCUGGCUCUGGACCCAGUUUUUCCACUUCCACCUGGGUGACCUUGGGCAGGUGACAUCACCUCCCUGAGCACUGGUUGGCUCAUUUCCACCAGGAUUGCCAUACCUCCCGACUCUGACUAUUGAAACCCUUCUCGUUAAGGCAGCCAACCAGUGAAACACUAUGCAGCCCUUAAGAAUGAUGUUAUGGGGGUGAUUAAUGGAACAUUGUUCAAAAUAUGUUAAGUUGGAAAACAUACAAACUACAAAAUAAAUUCAUACGUAAUUAUAAAGAUCA